CUAAUCUUCUAAUCCUUUUCUUUUUAGUUGUUAGGUUCUACAUGUGUUUAAGAUAGCCUAAAAUCCGCCUAUGCCAUAAAAAGGUAGCCCAGAGAGUUGAAGUUGGUUAGAAAAUAAGUCUACAGAGGGUGAUACCGGAGAGCACAAACCUUAUUCAUCUUGACAAAGGGUAUAUAAAGAAUAAGGUUUAAGACUUUUAAUGAACACCUUGCACAAAGCGUGCUUCUCAAAAGAUUUGGUUUCGUUGUAUUUUCAUGUCUUCAUUUAUGCCUUUACCUUGUCAAAUACAUUUAUGAUAAUAGUUCAGUAAGGAAUGGCUUGAAGGGAUUUGCAAUAGAUUUAAUCUAGAUGAUUGUACAGGCUUGAGCAUAAGGACAUCAUUUCUUCUUCUUAUCCUUCUUCUUCUUUUGGUUUCAUGUUUAGCGAUUGAAUGCUACUCUCAAGGGAGUUUCGUGGUCUACUAUGUACAUGUGAGGCAUGGUGGAAGGAAGAGGCCAGUUCCCAAGGGUAUUGUGUAUGGUAAGAAGAAUUAUCAAGUUAUCAGGUACCUGAGUAAAUGGCAUCCAAGGACAAAAACUCUAACCUUUCAUCGUGUAAAGUUGUGAAAGUAAUUGGAAACUGUUUAUCCAUGUUUUUAUUUUUGUUUUUGUUUCGGUUCGGGAAAGGAGCUACUUUUGUUGGCUAACUCCAAUUUGGUUUUCAAGGAUUGUGCUUUUCAAGCUAAAUAAAUUAGGG
rnacentral:lncRNA from 1 species